rnacentral:rRNA from 1 species
GCGCAGCAGGCGAGAAACCUCCGCAAUACACGAAAGUGUGACGGGGCCAUCCCGAGUGCCGUCCGCUGAGGACGGCUUUUCCCCAGUGUACACAGCUGGGGGAAUAAGGAGAGGGCAAGCCUGGUGUCAGCCGCCGCGGUAAUACCAGCUCUCCGAGUGGUGGGGACGCUUAUUGGGCCUAAAGCAUCCGUAGCCGGCUGGGCAAGUCCUCCGUUAAAUCCAACGAUUCAAUCGUUGGGCUGCGGGGGAUACUGUCCAGCUUGGGGGCGGGAGAGGCCGACGGUAUUCCCGGGGUAGGGGUGAAAUCCUAUAAUCCCGGGAGGACCACCAGUGGCGAAGGCUGUCGGCUAGAACGCGCCCGACGGUGAGGGAUGAAAGCGUGGGGGAGCGAACCGGAUUAGAUACCCGGGUAGU